GCAGCCGCCGCGGGAAUACGUAGGUCCCGAGCGUUGUCCGGAUUUAUUGGGCGUAAAGCGAGCGCGGGCGGUUAGAUAAGUCUGAAGUUAAAGGCUGUGGCUUAACCAUAGUACGCUUUGGAAACUGUUUAACUUGAGUGCAAGAGGGGAGAGUGGAAUUCCAUGUGUAGCGGUGAAAUGCGUAGAUAUAUGGAGGAACACCGGUGGCGAAAGCGGCUCUCUGGCUUGUAACUGACGCUGAGGCUCGAAAGCGUGGGGCGCAAACAGGAUUAGAUACCCGGGUAGUCCCUGUCUCUUAUACA
rnacentral:rRNA from 1 species